GACGAACGCUGGCGGCGUGCUUAACACAUGCAAGUCGAACGGAAAGGCCCUGCUUUUGUGGGGUGCUCGAGUGGCGAACGGGUGAGUAACACGUGAGUAACCUGCCCUUGACUUUGGGAUAACUUCAGGAAACUGGGGCUAAUACCGGAUAGGAGCUCCUGCUGCAUGGUGGGGGUUGGAAAGUUUCGGCGGUUGGGGAUGGACUCGCGGCUUAUCAGCUUGUUGGUGGGGUAGUGGCUUACCAAGGCUUUGACGGGUAGCCGGCCUGAGAGGGUGACCGGCGACAUUGGGACGGAGAUACGGCCCAGACUACUACGGGAGGCAGCAGUGGGGAAGAUUGCACAAUGGGCGGAAGCCUGAUGCAGAAACGCAGCGUGCGGGAUGACGGCCUUCGGGUUGUAAAAAGCUUUCGCCUGUGACGAAGCGUGAGUGACGGUAAUGGGUAAAGAAGCACCGGCUAACUACGUG
rnacentral:rRNA from 1 species